rnacentral:rRNA from 1 species
UACGGAGGGUGCAAGCGUUAAUCGGAAUUACUGGGCGUAAAGCGCAUGCAGGCGGUUUGGUAAGUCAGAAGUGAAAUCCCCGGGCUCAACCAUGGAACUGCAUCUGAUACUGGAAAGCUUGAGUCUCGGAGAGGGGGGUAGAAUUCCAGGUGGAGCGGUGAAAUGCGUAGAGAUCUGGAGGAAUACCGGUGGCGAAGGCGGCCCCCUGGACGAAGACUGACGCUCAGGUGCGAAAGCGUGGGGAGCAAACAGG